rnacentral:lncRNA from 1 species
AAAGAAAAAAGAUAUAUAUAAUAAAACCAAUAUUUAUCCAUGAGGAGCAAAAUCAGUUUAACACUAUGAACACAUAACUUACUUUGUAGGCGGUCCUCAAUGCCGAAAUAAAAUCAAAUGCAAUCCGUCUUGUAACCCAGUAAGUUCACGUCCUUUAUCUCCUUAAUAUAUUGUUCACAACUCCUAUAGACGGUAAAAGAUAAUAAACCAAGCAUUCAGAGUGAAAUAUGAUGACGAUUUAUUCCAUCUAACAGUGAUAUGAGGCUUAGAAUCAGAAUCAUUUGGUGGUUAUUAGUAAAACCAGAC